GACGAACGCUGGCGGCGUGCUUAACACAUGCAAGUCGAACGGAAAGGCCCUGCUUUUGUGGGGUGCUCGAGUGGCGAACGGGUGAGUAACACGUGAGUAACCUGCCCUUGACUUUGGGAUAACUUCAGGAAACUGGGGCUAAUACCGGAUAGUAGCUCCUGCCGCAUGGUGGGGGUUGGAAAGUUUCGGCGGUUGGGGAUGGACUCGCGGCUUAUCAGCUUGUUGGUGGGGUAGUGGCUUACCAAGGCUUUGACGGGUAGCCGGCCUGAGAGGGUGACCGGCCACAUUGGGACUGAGAUACGGCCCAGACUCAUACGGGAGGAAGCAGUGGGGAAUAUUGCACAAUGGGCGGAAGCCUGAUGCAGCAACGCCGCGUGCGGGAUGACGGCCUUCGGGUUGUAAACCGCUUUCGCCUGUGACGAAGCGUGAGUGACGGUAAUGGGUAAAGAAGCACCGGCUAACUACGUG
rnacentral:rRNA from 1 species